UACAGAGGGUGCGAGCGUUGUCCGGAAUCACUGGGCGUAAAGCGCGCGCAGGCGGUCCUUUAAGUCUGAUGUGAAAGCCCACGGCUCAACCGUGGAGGGUCAUUGGAAACUGGGGGACUUGAGUACAGAAGAGGAAAGCGGAAUUCCACGUGUAGCGGUGAAAUGCGUAGAGAUGUGGAGGAACACCAGUGGCGAAGGCGGCUUUCUGGUCUGUAACUGACGCUGAGGCGCGAAAGCGUGGGGAGCAAACAGG
rnacentral:rRNA from 1 species